rnacentral:rRNA from 1 species
GGAUAACUACCCUUUAGGACCGGGAUAACUUGGGAAACUGAGGAUAAUACUGGAUAGGCAAUUAUUCCUGGAAUGGAUUUUUGUUUAAAUGUUUUUUCGCCUAAGGAUGGGUCUGCGGCCGAUUAGGUAGUUGGUUAGGUAACGGCUUACCAAGCCAUUGAUCGGUACGGGUUGUGAGAGCAAGAGCCCGGAGAUGGAACCUGAGACAAGGUUCCAGGCCCUACGGGGUGCAGCAGGCGCGAAACCUCCGCAAUGUGAGAAAUCGCGACGGGGGGAUCCCAAGUGCCAUUCUUAACGGGAUGGCUUUUCAUUAGUGUAAAGAGCUUUUGGAAUAAGGGCUGGGCAAGACCGGUGCCAGCCGCCGCGGUAACACCGGCAGCUCUAGUGGUAGCAGUUUUUAUUGGGCCUAAAGCGUCCGUAGCCGGUUUAAUAAGUCUCUGGUGAAAUCCUGUAGCUUAACUGUGGGAAUUGCUGGAGAUACUAUUAGACUUGAGACCGGGAGAGGUUAGAGGUACUCCCAGGGUAGAGGUGAAAUUCUGUAAUCCUGGGAGGACCGCCUGUUGCGAAGGCGUCUAACUGGAACGGUUCUGACGGUGAGGGACGAAAGUUAGGGGCGCGAACCGGAUUAGAUACCCGGGUAGUCCUAACUGUAAACGAUGCGGACUUGGUGUUGGGGUGGCUUUGAGCUGCUCCAGUGCCGAAGGGAAGCUGUUAAGUCCGCCGCCUGGGAAGUACGGUCGCAA